GACGAACCGAGCGACCGUUAUUCGGAAUCACUGGGCUUAAAGGGCGCGUAGGCGGGCGGCCAAGUCAGGGGUGAAAGCCCCCAGCUCAACUGGGGAAGUGCCUCUGAUACUGGUCAUCUCGAGGGAGAUAGGGGCGUGCGGAACUUCCGGUGGAGCGGUGAAAUGCGUAGAUAUCGGAAGGAACACCGGUGGCGAAAGCGGCGCGCUGGAUCUCUUCUGACGCUGAGGCGCGAAAGCCAGGGGAGCGAACGGG
rnacentral:rRNA from 1 species